rfam:Treponema saccharophilum DSM 2985 Tsacc_Contig215, whole genome shotgun sequence.
GCCGGGUUGGUGAAAUGGUAGACACAACAGACUCAAAAUCUGUCGCCUGCAAGGGUAUCUGAGUUCGAGUCUCAGACCCGGUA